AGUGAACGCUGGCGGUAGGCCUAACACAUGCAAGUCGAACGGCAGCACAGUAAGAGCUUGCUCUUACGGGUGGCGAGUGGCGGACGGGUGAGGAAUACAUCGGAAUCUACUUUUUCGUGGGGGAUAACGUAGGGAAACUUACGCUAAUACCGCAUACGACCUACGGGUGAAAGCAGGGGAUCUUCGGACCUUGCGCGAUUGAAUGAGCCGAUGUCGGAUUAGCUAGUUGGCGGGGUAAAGGCCCACCAAGGCGACGAUCCGUAGCUGGUCUGAGAGGAUGAUCAGCCACACUGGAACUGAGACACGGUCCAGACUCCUACGGGAGGCAGCAGUGGGGAAUAUUGGACAAUGGGCGCAAGCCUGAUCCAGCCAUACCGCGUGGGUGAAGAAGGCCUUCGGGUUGUAAAGCCCUUUUGUUAGGAAAGAAAAGCAGCAGGUUAAAACCCCGCUGUUCUGACGGUACCCAAAGAGUAAGCACCGGCUAACUUCGUG
rnacentral:rRNA from 1 species